rnacentral:lncRNA from 1 species
GUUAGACUUGAUCUACACUAUUAAAUUAUUUGAAAAUUAAAUUUCAUAAUUUUUCGACAUCAUUUACCUAGCUAUCGAAUGAGUAGUCUAAAAAUAAAUAGCUGAAAAUAAAAAUCUCAUAAAAAAUGAUGAUAAAAGACUUGAAUUUAAGAUCAGAAGUAUUGAUCUUACUCUAAAUAGUGAAAAAAAAAAUUCUAUAAAAAUUUCAUCAGAUUUGAAUUGUUUUACAUCGUUAAAUUCACAAGCGCAUCACAUCGACCAUUAUCAUUUGAAUACAACAACGGAAAACCAAC